rnacentral:rRNA from 1 species
GAUGAACGCUAGCGGCAGGCCUAAUACAUGCCAGUCGGACGGGAUUCAGGAGCUUGCUUCUGAUGAGGGUGGCGCACGGGUGCGUAACACGUAUGUAACCUACCUUUAUCAGGGGGAUAGCCUCUCGAAAGAGAGAUUAAGCCCGCAUAAAAUCACAGCACAGCAUUGUGUAAUGAUCAAAUAUUUAUAGGAUAAAGAUGGGCAUGCGGAACAUUAGCUAGAUGGCGGGGUAACGGCCCACCAUGGCGACGAUGUUUAGGGGAUCUGAGAGGAUGGCCCCCCACACUGGUACUGAGACACGGACCAGACUCCUACGGGAGGCAGCAGUAAGGAAUAUUGGUCAAUGGGCGGAAGCCUGAACCAGCCAUGCCGCGUGCAGGAAGACGGCCCUACGGGUUGUAAACUGCUUUUAUACGGGAAUAAACCCAGAUACGUGUAUCUGGCUGAAUGUACUGUAAGAAUAAGGAUCGGCUAACUCCGUG